rnacentral:rRNA from 1 species
UGGGGAAUAUUGCACAAUGGGCGAAAGCCUGAUGCAGCAACGCCGCGUGAGUGAUGAAGGUCUUCGGAUUGUAAAGCUCUGUCUUUUGGGACGAUAAUGACGGUACCAAAGGAGGAAGCCACGGCUAACUACGUGCCAGCAGCCGCGGUAAUACGUAGGUGGCGAGCGUUGUCCGGAUUUACUGGGCGUAAAGGGUGCGUAGGCGGAUGUUUAAGUGAGAUGUGAAAUACCCGGGCUUAACUUGGGUGCUGCAUUUCAAACUGGAUAUCUAGAGUGCAGGAGAGGAGAAUGGAAUUCCUAGUGUAGCGGUGAAAUGCGUAGAGAUUAGGAAGAACACCAGUGGCGAAGGCGAUUCUCUGGACUGUAACUGACGCUGAGGCACGAAAGCGUAGGUAGCAAACAGGAUUAGAUACCCUGGUAGUCCACGCCGUAAACGAUGAGUACUAGGUGUAGGAGGUAUCGACCCCUUCUGUGCCGCAGUAAACACAUUAAGUACUCCGCCUGGGAAGUACGAUCGCAAGAUUAAAAC